rnacentral:tRNA from 1 species
GCGCGAUAGCGGGUGACGGGCAGCGGCGCGUGCGUGUCCGGCGCGACGGCCUCGAACGGCAGUUGCAGCGCCUGGUUGAAGCCGGGUCCGCGCC